AUGGUGUACCAGCUUUGCAAGGGCGUUGCUUUUUGCCACGGACGCGGUGUCCGGCACCAUGACCUUGAGCCACACAACCUACAAAUUGGUGGAUGGGUUGGUAUCAUCUGGUUUGAUCCCAGCAAGAGGAAACACGGAGGGGUUCUACAUGGAGGUUCAGGAGAAGAUCUCGCUAGGUACGACAACGUGUUCAACUGGUCCCUCAAGGCCAAUAUGAUGGGUGAAAAGGCCACCGAGUUGGCGCACAACUUCAUCGACGAGUGCGGCCUCGCUAGCCUGCUCACCCCGGAGCAGUUAGUCGAGGAGCGCGAGGGCAUGCUGCAGGAGCUCUUCCCCUCCUGCGCCGUCUUGCCUGAUGAUUUCCUUCAUUCAUGUUUCGAUGUGAGCUCUAGGUCGAAGUUGGAAGAAGACAUGCAGGAUCUAGGCAUGCAUGCAUGCUCUCUUAUCCCUGCUUAUGCUCCUUAG
rnacentral:rRNA from 1 species